AGCACGAGGACUUGCGCAGCUGAACUUCCCAGUAAUGGGCCCAUGCAAAAUGAUCCGGGAGGUACCUGGGCGGAUGUUGUCGGGGCCUGGGGUGGCCGGGCGCAACUAGGUUUGGGGUUUUGCCUAGCACAAUGCGAUUGGGGGGCAUGGCCCGGCAUGAUGCGGUUCGGGGACAUGGCCUGGCGUGAUGCGAUUUGGGGGACAUGGCCUGGCAUGAUGUGAUUGGGGGGGCAUGGCCUGGCAUGAUGUGAUUGGGGGGGCAUGGCCUGGCAUGAUGUGAUUUGGGGGGCAUGGCCUGGCAUGAUGUGAUUGGGGGGACAUGGCCUGGCAUGAUGUGAUUGGGGGGGCAUGGCCUGGCAUGAUGUGAUUUGGGGGGCAUGGCCUGGCAUGAUGUGAUUGGGGGGGCAUGGCCUGGCAUGAUGUGAUUUGGGGGACAUGGCCUGGCAUGAUGUGAUUGGGGGGGCAUGGCCUGGCAUGAUGUGAUUUGGGGGGCAUGGCCUGGCAUGAUGUGAUUUGGGGGACAUUGCCUGGCAUGAUGUGAUUUUGGGGACAUGGCCUGGCAUGAUGUGAUUGGGGGGGCAUGGCCUGGCAUGAUGUGAUUUGGGGGGCAUGGCCUGGCAUGAUGCGAUUUGGGGGCAUGGCCUGGCAUGAUGCGAUUUGGGGGACAUGGCCUGGCAUGAUGCGAUUUGGGGGGCAUGGCCUGGCAUGAUGUGAUUGGGGGGCAUGGCCUGGCAUCAUGCGAUUUGGGGGGCAUGGCCUGGCAUCAUGC
rnacentral:lncRNA from 1 species